rnacentral:sRNA from 1 species
CCUCACUUCCAACACCUCCCAGUAUGACACAUAUUGCUUCAAUGCUUCAGCUCCACCUGAAGAAGACUGUACAUCAGUCACAGACCUGCCCAAUGCCUUUGAUGGACCAAUUACCAUAACUAUUGUUAACCGCGAUGGCACCCGCUAUGUCCAGAAAGGAGAAUACAGAACAAAUCCUGAAGACAUCUACCCCAGCAACCCUACUGAUGAUGACGUGAGCAGCGGGUCCUCCAGUGAAAGGAGCAGCACUUCAGGAGGUUACAUCUUUUACACCUUUUCUACUGUACAUCCCAUCCCAGAUGAAGACGGUCCCUGGAUCACCGACAGCACAGACAGAACCCCUGCUACCAGUACGUCUUCAAAUACCAUCUCAGCAGGCUGGGAGCCAAAUGAAGAAAAUGAAGAUGAAAGAGACAGACAACUCAGUUUUUCUGGAUCAGGCAUUGAUGAUGAUGAAGAUUUUAUCUCCAGCACCAGUAUUCUUUUUCAGAAUCAUCUAUAGGAAAGCUCUGGCUGCUCAGGCAUUUCUUUCCCCACUGAAAUUACUAACAACAGAAAGUGAUUAUCAUGGUAU